GACGAACGCUGGCGGCGUGCUUAACACAUGCAAGUCGAACGGAAAGGCCUCAGCUUGCUGGGGUACUCGAGUGGCGAACGGGUGAGUAACACGUGGGUGAUCUGCCUUGCACUCUGGGAUAAGCUUGGGAAACUGGGUCUAAUACCGGAUAUGAACUGCCUUUAGUGUGGUGGUUGGAAAGUUUUUUCGGUGCAAGAUGAGCUCGCGGCCUAUCAGCUUGUUGGUGGGGUAAUGGCCUACCAAGGCGUCGACGGGUAGCCGGCCUGAGAGGGUGUACGGCCACAUUGGGACUGAGAUACGGCCCAGACGCCUACGGGAGGCAGCAGUGGGGAAUAUUGCACAAUGGGCGGAAGCCUGAUGCAGCGACGCCGCGUGGGGGAUGACGGCCUUCGGGUUGUAAACUCCUUUCGACAGGGACGAAGCUUUUUGUGACGGUACCUGUAGAAGAAGCACCGGCUAACUACGUG
rnacentral:rRNA from 1 species